GUAACCCUGGGUUAAACACACUUUUAGUUAAGAAUUUAAAAUUCCCACCCCUUUUUCAAGUCCCUGAAUGCAUCACAUUCACCUGAGUGAUCACCUGGCUUCUCCAGCCAAUCCCAUGUUUUGGAGGGAAUAUAUAUGCUGCCUCACUUCCUCUCCAGUCAGUUGUGUGGGGAGAGGAGCUGAGGAAGCAGCUGUACAGGUCAGUUCCCAAACAAACACAGUCAAAAAGAAACAUUUUGGUUUAAACUAAUACAUAAAAUGCCAAAUUACAGAGCUUUACUCUGGGAUGUGAGGAUUGGUGGGACCCAAUGCCAUUUUGUGCAAAUCUGAUCAUUGGAAUUGGCCAGGUACCUUUACCCUUUAUGGGUUAAUUCGAUGGCGAGCUAGUGAUCCACGGCCAGGAGCCAGAAGAACCCUCAGUCCGUCUCUGUAACACCUGUCGGGUAGGAGGCUGGUGCAGCCUGCUCUCUCCCUCCCCUUACUCACCUUCCAUUUGCCCCGCUCCACUACUCACCUUUCUUUGGACAAUUGCGCUUUUUCCAUAAUCCCCGAAACUUAAUAACAAUUACUGAACAUUUUGCGGUGCCUAAAUGGACUGUCGUGUGUAACUGGAAAAACUACAACAAAAGGACUUUGGGUUUUGGUUUGUUCAUUUUAAGUUGAACAUUUGGAAUUAGUGCGUGUAUUUUUAAUGUAAAUAUUCACUGUACAAUUGGGUUAUUCUUUUUGUUUCUGUUAUCAACUAUUCACCUUAAUAUAUGGUACCAUCACUUUAAAACUUA